AGUGAACGCUGGCGGUAGGCCUAACACAUGCAAGUCGAACGGCAGCACAGUAAGAGCUUGCUCUUACGGGUGGCGAGUGGCGGACGGGUGAGGAAUACAUCGGAAUCUACUUUUUCGUGGGGGAUAACGUAGGGAAACUUACGCUAAUACCGCAUACGACCUACGGGUGAAAGCAGGGGAUCUUCGGACCUUGCGCGAUUGAAUGAGCCGAUGUCGGAUUAGCUAGUUGGCGGGGUAAAGGCCCACCAAGGCGACGAUCCGUAGCUGGUCUGAGAGGAUGAUAAGCCACACUGGAACUGAGACACGGUCCAGACUCCUACGGGAGGCAGCAGUGGGGAAUAUGGGACAAUGGGCGCAAGCCUGAUCCAGCCAUACCGCGUGGGUGAAGAAGGCCUUCGGGUUGUAAAGCCCUUUUGUUGGGAAAGAAAAGCAGCAGGUUAAUACCCAGCUGUUCUGACGGUACCCAAAGAAUAAGCACCGGCUAACUUCGUG
rnacentral:rRNA from 1 species